rnacentral:rRNA from 1 species
UACGUAGGGUGCGAGCGUUAAUCGGAAUUACUGGGCGUAAAGCGUCCGCAGGUGGCAGUUCAAGUCUGCUGUCAAAGACCGGGGCUUAACUUCGGAAAGGCAGUGGAAACUGAACAGCUAGAGUAUGGUAGGGGCAGAGGGAAUUCCUGGUGGAGCGGUGAAAUGCAUUGAGAUCGGAAAGAACACCAACGGCGAAAGCACUCUGCUGGGCCGACACUGACACUGAGAGACGAAAGCUAGGGGAGCAAAUGGG